CCGACGCACGGGUGAGUAACGCGUAUCCAACCUGCCCUUUACUAUGGGACAGCCCGUCGAAAGGCGGAUUAAUACCGUAUGUUGUCAUGUUGAUGCAUAUUUUCAUGACCAAAGGCUUCGGCCGGUAAAGGAUGGGGAUGCGUCUGAUUAGCUUGCCGGCGGGGUAACGGCCCACCGGGGCGACGAUCAGUAGGGGUUCUGAGAGGAAGGUCCCCCACAUUGGAACUGAGACACGGUCCAAACUCCUACGGAAGGCAGCAG
rnacentral:rRNA from 1 species